rfam:Medicago truncatula strain A17 chromosome 1, whole genome shotgun sequence.
UGCAGUGGCUAUGAUGAUUACUGUGUAUCCCGGCUCAUUAUGAGACUUUUUUGUAAGGUCCGGGAAUUGAAUUUUUCCACACAUAAAUCUGAGCUUUUCU